rnacentral:rRNA from 1 species
CAUGCAGUAAACGAUGAUCACUAGGCGUACGUAAUUUAUUUAUGUGUGUCGCAGCUAACGCGAUAAGUGAUCCGCCUGGGGAGUACGGUCGCAAGACUAAAACUUAAAGAAAUUGACGGGGAUCCGCACAAGCGGUGGAACAUGUGGUUUAAUUCGAUACAACGCGAGGAACCUUACCUGGGUUUGACAUGCAUAAGAACCGCAUAGAGAUAUGUGCUUCAUAGAGAAAUCUAUGACUUUUGCACAGGUGU